GGAUGUAAUCAAAUUUACUCAAUUACCCAUCUCUAACUUGAUAUCAAAAGGACAUCGACAAAAAAAAAUCUUUGUUUUUUUCGGGUUUCUCUUUCACGAGUCACGACAUCGACAGAAAACUCAGGUGGAGCAAUCUCCGAUCAAGAGUUACCGUCGUCCUAUCUCACUCCAUCAACAUCUCCUCUGUCACAGCCGCCGUCGAUCUCGACAUUUCCUCCUCAAGUAGCCAUCGUGUCUCUUUCAAGUAAACCCUAAAUCCCAAUUUCAACUGUAAUUGCUAAAUCUAUCCAAUUCCAAGUAGUUAUUAACACUUUUUUAACAUAUAUUGUUUGAUUAAGAUGUUUAAUUUCAAAAACCCUGAAUCCCAAUUUCAACAGUAUCUUGGUAGACGUUUUGUGAGUUCUUUACUUCAGUGUUGCUGUUGAGUUUGGUAGAUAUGUCUUGUGAGAAAGAGAUUACUCUUUUCGCUUUAUAUAAGGGAUUAGACCAUUAAAGAAGCCAUAGUUACUCCAUUAGGUUCGUCGUUACUUACUUACUUGGACUCGUGUUUGAAGUAUAGCGUUAUAAUUAUUUGUACUGAGAUUCAGUGUUAUCUUCUUCUCAACUUGAUACCUUUCUCAAUGUGAUCUGAACACUCAAGAUAUCUUAUGAUCUUCCCACUAGCAUUAGCUAAAUUAUUUAUUUCGGUUUUCGUUUUCUUUGUAUAUGGUAGUUGAUAGUGUUCUAUUUGUCAAAACAAAACUUGGCUUUCAUAUUUCACUACUGUGGCUUGUUAUAAUUUGGUUUGUACUGCUUUGUAGAGAAGAAAAUAACGUGUGAAGUGUUUUAUUUUUCAGGUAUGGCUUCUUCCUCGGAUAUGAGAAAAGAUUCUCUUCGUCUGUAUGAGGUUGGAAAAACCCAAUUCAGAAUAUGAGCAUGAACCAUAGUUUUUUUCUGUCCAACAUUCAAAUGGUGGACGAAGCUGUUGGAGAAGAUGUUUUAUCUGAGUUGAGGGAAUCAGCUCUACUAUAGGGCAUCCAUAGUCUUUUCUCGUACUCUGUUCGCAGUUUCUACAUUGUAUGCUUCAUCUGAAGGCUUUUUGUGCUUCUAAUCUUCAGAUAUGAUUGUACAAAUGGCUUAUCAUUGGUUUUUAUCUUUUCACAAUGCUCUGAUUCUGAGCAUCUGUCACUGAGAAAAGUGAGUUCCACGAAGCGAAAAGUUUAAGAGAUAUUUCACAAAUUAUAUUUAGGACGUGUCCUGGAACAAAGUCUAGUGAAACACUUCUGAGCAUAGACAUAUUUAUACAGACAUUCUAGACCGGUGAAAGACCGACUUAUGGUCUCCAUUUUUUCUAAAAAACUUUCAAAUUUGUAAAGAACAUAUAUUUAUACCAACAUUUAUUAAACUUUAUAGUUUUUUUAAACUAAUUUUUUUUUAUAGUUCUCAAAAUUUCAAGAUCGUUCCUGAUUAUAUUGAUGGUUAA
rnacentral:lncRNA from 1 species